rnacentral:lncRNA from 1 species
AGGAGGAGGAGGCUGUUGAUGAGAAAACAACUGAGCAUGCUAUUGAUGAGGAACCACCAGAGGAGAGUGCUGAUGAGGAACCACAAGAGGAGGCUGCUUAUGAGGAACCGCCAGAGGAGGCUGCCGAUGAGGAACUGCCGGAGGAGGGCCGCCGAUGAGGAACUGCCGGAGGAGGCCGCCGAUGAGGAACCUGAGGACGAGAUUUCAGACGAGAUGUUGGGCGAUGAUGGAUAUGACGAUUGAGUGAUGAUUUACCCCUUACAAGUUCAUGGUGAAAGUUAAUAUGUUUAAGACUAAAAGUUUAGUUCCGCGUACUUAACUACUACAUAUGCUAGCUACUUAUAUAGUUAAUUAUCCACUCAUAGAGUCAUAGUUAAGUACUCUUGGCCUCUGGUUGGACCAGAUCAGAGAGGUUUAUGGAGUUUCUUUAUGCCACUGAUGAAAUGAAGUCUUUAUGCUACUGAUGAAAUGAAGACCCAGCUUAAUUAAUUAAAUUUUCUUUAAGACUUAAGUUUGGUUUAAUUGCUUUUCUGUUUAGCAUUCUUGCUACUUCGCACUAAUUAUAAUUAUGCUACAUACUUAAUUAUCAGGCUGUACACACUCACAUAUAUGUAUGCAUGCAUGUAUGUAUGUAUGUAUGCAUGCAUGAAUUAACCACACUAAGAGCUCGUUUGCAGCUUAUUAAUUUCUGCGAAAGCAAGAGUACUCUUACUUCAGAUGUGUUGCAUGUGUUUGCAAGUCCCUCCCCCGGCCCCCGUAUGCAUAUAGCGUUGGUGGUCUCCUAUAUAUUUACUUGUAAUUCAUUUUCUUGUUUCGCUGUCCUUGUCUCCCAGUCGGAGUCUAAUCACCAUGUUUGAAACGAGAUUCUAUUAAUUAAGGAUCUUUUUAAUAUUUUGUUGCUUUUAAUUUCUUUCCUAUUUGAAUUUGAGGGGCUUUUAGGGUUAACUUACAUUAUAAAUAGGUCAUGUUGCCAUUAGGUUUGCGAUUUCUUAUCAUAUAUAUAUAGCCAAAACUUACCCUCCAAUUUCAUAAAUGUAAUUUUUUAUAAAAACUAUCAAUUAUAGCAAAAAAAAAAAAAAAAACCUAAAUAAACCUGAAUGCUCUAAAAAUUAAAGAACAAAUACACUAGACCUAAAAUCCUUGAAGUUCCUUUCGAUUCCAACUCAUGUGAUACAUACAAAAGGACUACUGGCUUAUGUCUGGAAAAAACUAAUUUUGAUUGCCGGAAAGUAGAUUUCACAGCGGUUGUUUAUCACCAUAUAAAUGUGAAGAACACUAACAAUAACAGUCACUACCUCAAGUUCAUAAAUGGAGGAUUGAAAGAAUUGGAUACUCAGUACUCUAGCCCAAAUCUCUGUAAUAUAAAGAAAUUAGCAAAACCUUUCUCAUAUAAAUAUUUUUAUAUGUUAGAUCAGUACAUGUCUGACAACAUGUGAAGCUUUUUCGCUAUCAAUACAUGUUGUUAGACAUAAGAGUUGAUUGGAGCUUUUUCGCUUGUUUUUACUGGAUGAUUUAAUCUUAUCGUAGUUACUGUAUCGAAAAGAGUUUUGUUACUUUUCCUAAUAUAAAAACGAAACUAUAUAUGACUUAUAUAAUUUGCAGUUACCUAUAGGUUGAUAUAUUCGAACAACAAUUUUCUUCCCAAUGACUUAUAUAAUUUGCAGUUACCUAUAGGUUGAUAUAUUCGAACAACAAUUUUCUUCCCAAUGAAUCCAGAUUCAUUGUGAGCCUAUGAAAAAAAGCAUACUUGCUCUCAUUCAUUAAGAGAAAAAGCUAGCACAGGUUAAGAAAAAAAAUGUUUAAUUGAGGUAUUUGGGUCUAUUCAAGAGUGAUUUUGGCUAUUUAUAAAUUUUUUAUAAAAGUUGACAUUUAUGAAAUUUGUGGCUAAAAUUUGGCCAUAUAUGAUAACAACUCUAGGUUUGCAAUCAAUUCAUAUUGUUAUCAAUAAACUUUGGAGUUUUUUUUUCUAUUUUUCGGUGAAUUUCGAAGUACAGGCGAUUUCAGUUUGUUUGGUAGUGGAUUCUAGCGUGAGGAUUUUAUUUGAUAUCCCUUAUCAUAUACCCCGCUGCGUUGGGCUGGUUUUAUUUAUUUUUCCGUUUUUUUAUCUUAAAUAAAAAGUAAGUCCAACCUUGGUUACUUUAGCAUCCAUGGUCCAACUUUGACCGAUCGACGUACGUCUUAUCGAAAUUAUACAGACCCCUUGGAAUUUGGAAAGAGGAAAAAGUAUGCUAGCUAGGUUAAGUAAGGAUUCCCCAACGCAAUGAAAUAAUUAGUACUCAGAACCCAGCAAAUUGAACUCUCUCUCUCCGAGCUAAGGGGAUUGUUGAAAUGUUCAGGCUCGCUGGAGUAUUGAAACGGGUUUACAUAUAUGUAUGAAGUUUUUUUGUUUUGAUUUUUUUAUUGAUGUCGAUUAUAGAAGAUGACCACACAUAUGGAAAACCCGAAGAAACGUCACCUAUAAAUAAAGAUCUCAAUAACAUUGUAGCAAAAUCUUAGAAUUAUAUAUACAUAGGUGCGAUGUCCCCUGCCAGGCUGCCACUCUUCUCCUCGCCAUUGGCUUGGCGUGACUAUUGAAACACGAACGAAAUCUCUUUGAUUUCUAUCGACGAUUAAAAAAUAAAAAAAAAUAUAACUUUAGCCCUUAAAACUUAAUUUCCUUCACAUAAAACCCGACAUAAGUUUUUUAUUCGAAUAAAACUUAUUUACUAGAUUUCACAUCAACAAAUUAUUAUUUAUGUUUGACUUAACACAUUUAAAAUUUUCUGAAUGCCUAAAAUACCUCUAUAUGAAUGUUUGAUGUAAACAAUUAAUGCCAUGUGAAUUAUAAGGGAGAAUUAAUAAUUUUAUAAAAAAAAAAACAUUUGUUAUAAAUUCAUUGCCUAAUAUAUAAUAACAAUAAAACAUGUCUAGUAUAUUGACAUGCUUAAUUAAGUCAGCCCAUUGUUAGCACCCUAUCCUCGUUUAUGUACGUAUUUCUCUAUUCAAUGAAUAUCGUACUUUCUCAAAAAAAAAAAAGUCACAAAAAUUAUAUUUUACAUAUUAAUGUAGGUAAAUUAUUUCACACAUAUAUAAAAAAUGCCUAAUAUAUGUAAAACUUCAUGCAAAAUAAUUUACCUAAAAAAAUGUUAUUUGAUUCAAAUAGUGCACCUGCUAUUAAAAUUUUAAAAUGUUAGAUUGCACAAAAUAAUUUACUCAAUAUAUGCAAAAUACUUGCAAAAUAAUUUACCUACAUAAUAAACAAACCCAAUAUAUGCAAAAUACAUGCAAAAUAAUUUACCUACAUAAUAAAGCAAUAUUAUUUUAUUUAAUACUAAUUUACCUACAAAAUAUAUUAUUUGCUAAUCAUAAAUUUACAAAUAGGUAAACUAAUUACAUAUGAUAUGAUAAUUUUUUAACAUAUAUGUUAGUACUGCGCAUAUAUAUAAGUAUGUGCAAUAAUUAUUUGUUUAUUAUAAUUAAGGUUAGUAAUAAUAUUUAUUGAUUUGAUUUGAAUAUUGUGGCAUAAGUUGUAAAUAUUUUGUAAUGAUACGUCAAUUACUUUUUUAUUUGGCAGUCUUUUGGAAAUUUGGAUUUUAUUAUGAUGUUUAAAAUUAGAUGGAUUUUUAUAUAAGAAAUAAGAGUUGUAAAAAUCUAUAUCUAAAGAACCCUAAAAAAAAAAACCCCCCUAAAUACUGAGGAGUGAAUGGAUUAUGUAACAUGAGAAAAGGAAAGCAUUGUCGGGCCCCCAUAAAUGCAUAUAUCAUGAUAGACAAAUAGAGGGGAGGGUUUUCUCAAAAAAAAAAAAAAAAAAAAAAAAAAAAAAAAAGAAGAGGGGAGGGAGCAAAAUGAUGGACUGCAUUUGCAUGUGAUCCCUAAGUACUCGUAAUGGAAAUUUUUGCUUUUUGUUUUAUAUUUUGACCAAACAGGUAUUCUUUCCCAUUUAAGGAUAAAAAAAAUGAUUGUGUAAACUAACUGGCGUGGUGUCCAAGUUGAUGUCUAUCUCAGUCGACGGUAUCUUUAAAAAGUUUCAUUAAAAAGUUUUAGGGUCACAAACUUCAUUAAAAAUUUUUAGAUAGAAAUGUCCUCAAAACAAAAAAAUUCAAAAACAACCCAAAAUAAUGUAAAUGUAUUUUUAUCAUUUUAACAGUAAUUUUUAAUAAUUAAUUCUUUUUGUAUAAUUUGUUUUUAUUUUAAUUAGUACCUCGCAAUAGGUUAGCAAUAAUGUGAUUCAACCAGUUGUUUAUUAAAUAUUAUUUUUUCUAUUUUUAAACACGUUCAAAACAUCUUAAGAGGCGUGUAAUGCCGGUUAUAAAAAAAAAAUCUUUCGCACGGGCUUAAUAAUGUGAUUAAAUUAGUUAUCAAAUAAUUGUUUAUUUAUUUAUUUUAACAAACGAUAUUAUCUACACUAAAGGAGAUGGGUGGGCUUAGCCUCACAAUAGGUUAGCAAUAAUGUGAUUCAAUCAGCUGUUUAUUAAAUAUUAUUUUCUCUAUUCUUAAUGUAAAUUCAAUAGAAUGUAGAUGGAAAUUGAAAAACUGAUUUAUUAUGUGAAUUCAACUGCUUUGAUUGGUUUGUGAUGGGAUUUUUUUUCUACCAUGAUCUAAGAUUAUUCAUUUACUUCAAAUAUUUGACUUUCCUUUUGUCAAUUCAAGCAUAUAAAUACAUUUAAAAUAUGUAAAUUGCGCGUAGCACGCCGUGAUUCAAAAAAUGCCUUCUGUAUGCGUGUGAAUGCGUGCAUGAAGGCUAGUGCUAAUUAAAGUGAAAGUACUCUUACUGCAGAUUUGUUGCAUGUGUUUGCAAGUCCCUCCCCCGGCCCCCCUAUGCAUACAGUGUUGUUACGAGCAUGGUCUCCUUUAUAUAUUUUACUUGUGUUUCUCUUCUUGUUUCUUUGCCUUUGUGCCCUAGCUAGCUAAUGGACGUGGUUAUCCAACGUCGUUGCAAGGCUAUUUAUCACCCAGCUCAAACAUUUUGAAAUAAAGCAUAAAUAUGUGCAUGGAAAGAACAUGUACGGUGACAGAUUUUCUGACUGAGUUGAGUUUGUCCAUUGAUGUAGUGUAGGAUCCUCCUUUGAAUUUGCGUAUGCCCUCUCUUUUCGGUUAAUUAUCUCUUCGGAUGAACUAGCUGGAGUUGUCAGGCCGAAGGCCGCUUUUAUAUGCCUAAUGAGUUUUUGAGUUGAGUUUUUGAGAAGUGCCUACCAAAUAAGAAUCUUGAACUUAAUUGUGACUCAAAAUUUGUUUUUGAGUUAGAAGAUGUAGAAUUCAAUUUCAAAAUACCGAACAGGCCCUUCACUUUUUCAAUCUUUUAUUUGUACCCUUAAUUUUAAAUUUUGAUACGUAGCCUAAGGGCUGGUUUGGUAUUGCUGUGCUUUGAAAAAAAAAAUGCUUCUACUGUGCUGUGAGAAUAAGCUCAUUUUUGUUGCUUCAUGUUUUCAGCUUUUUUCACAAAAGCUAUGAAAAUAAGUUGUUUUUGCACCUCAGUACCAAACCAGUACUUAAUUAAUCACGUUGGCCGUACCUUUUGUGGGUACUUAACAUUUUUUUCCUUUCAACUUUGAGAUUGGUAGAUUACUAUCGAAAGUGUCCCCAGGCGAUGCUGCGGGUUUUAAAACCAUAUAAAACAUAUAGAAAGUUAUAAAUGUAUAUACAAUAGGCAAUACUAUUUACAUACAUUUGAAAAUCUUACAACUCUAUUUACAAAAAAAGGAACAAAAUAAGAAAUAAUUUUGGCAAUACCAUUUAUAUACGGUGACUUCAUAUUAUGCAAAAUUUGUGCAGACCCAUUUUAAGAAUAACAUUAUGUGAUUCUUCAUUGUACAUAUAAUUAAAUUGUUACCCCAUUCUUCAACACUAUCAAUCUGUUUUUGCCUGGCUUACCGUCUCAAUAACAAAUCUCUCCCACUGAACACAAACACACACAACCAACUACAACUUCAUUAAACUGGUUCUACAACGUUUGAAUUGAUGGUACACAAUUCUGUGAUUAGAUGGGUCAAGCAAAACCGUAUGCUUUUCAUGCUUAUCUAGGUUCAAGUGUAUCCCUAAUCUAUACAUUACCUAUGAAAUCCUUGUAAUUCACAAUGAACAUGUUCUGCUCAGGAUCAGUGGUGUUGGAGAAUCAUCCCACUGCACAUACACAACCCCACGAAAAUCGAAAGAUACUUAGAAUGAAGGCAUGAGAAAUUUAGAUUUAUUUCUAGCUUUUGAAUUAAAUAAAAUCAAGCAACAAAAUACGCAAAAACGUGCAUAAGAAAAAAAAAGUGUGUGAAAAUCAUUUUCCUUUGAGUAAAAUGAAGAAAUUAAGAAAUUACAUGAAUUGGGCCUGGGAAUUUUGUUCGAAAAUGUCAAAAAUCAUGCAGAAUUAAGGGCCUUCUUGAUUGGGAUGAGCGGAGUGGGCGAAAUGGGCACAUUGGGAUGUAUUUGUAGAUCAAGACCUGGUGUUCUAGCUCCAUCCAUUAGAUUGAGUGAAAGGUCCUCUGCCUCCUGCUAUACUCCAUUGCAUGGCAGCAACUCCAUUACUCAACUCCCACUAUUAUGCCCUGAAACACAACCAGAAAUCGGAAAACCGAAAAAAAAAUAAAAAAUAUAUUUGAAGUUGAAAUUUUUUUUUAAAGAAAAUUAAGCAAUUCAGAGCCUUUGAAAUUGGCCAAAAAACAGGAGAACUAAGCUUCUACACCUAUAGUGAAUAUAUUAUGUGAACGUGGUUCUUGCUCUCUUUCUCUCAACAUCACGAUUAUGAAACCUUCGACAUAAUCAAGAAAAAAAUUUCUAAAGCCCAAUUACAUUAAAUCACAAAUUCAAAACAUUAUUUUAACAUGCAAUUAUCGAAACAUAAAUACAUAACUAUAAAUAAAUCUUCACAGUUUUGGAGGAGAGCAGAGAGGAGGAGAUGUGCGACCACCAUGAAGCUCCAGAAGGUUUUCUAGUUGACCAGGAAGGAAGAAAUCACGGAUCAUAUGACUUUUUGUUCAAUUUUCAUAGACUAUACAAAUUGUUCAAACAGAUAAUUCGGGUCUUUUAACAAAUAUUUAACAGAUAGAACUCAAAAAUUUUAAGAACGAAAACAAAAGGUUCGAAAUUUACUUAAACCCAACAAUAACAGACGAAAUUAAAAUUAAUUAGAGCAAAGUCGGUACAAAUUCGAAAUUCCAAAAACCAAAAUUAUAUGCAAAAUAUCAAAAUUUAUAACACAAAGAACUCACCAAAAUCGAAUCAAAUGGAGAGAAUGAACCAUCAGGAUAUGAGGAAUGAGGCAAGGCAGGGGCCACUAUGAGUGAGUUUUGGGUUGUGGAUUUCAAAUUUCUCAUUCGGGGAAAGGAUGAGGAUUCUAGGUUGGGGAAAGCAAGGAGCAGGGAGAAAAAGGAGGAUGCCCAAAAAAGCAAAACGAUUUCUAGGCUUUGAUGGAGUCUGUAGCCAGUUGGACUUGCUAGAGUGUUUUAUCACUGUGCUGUUGAAGAGAAAGAAUGACACCUAAGAACUCAACAGAAAGAAUGGCAACCUUUUAAUAACACAAACUAAGCAAGGGUAAAAUCGGAAUGACACUGUGCUUAUGAACAGUGUUUCAGUUGAUUUUCAGUUUUAGUAUAUAUUGAAUUUUCUAAACAAAAAUGAGACUGGCACACUAUUUAGUACUAUAGUUUAAUGAUAUUCUUUUUUAUUUGUAAGUUGUAAGUAAAAGGUCUUAGGUUCGAUUCUCGCCAAAGGUGAAUUAUUUGAACCACAUUAUUGCUAACUCAUUGUGAGGCUAAGCUUACCCCAUCCCCAUAGUGUAGGUAAUAUCGCCUUGUAAAAAAAGGUUAAUUUUGAUGCAUGAAGAUCUAGAACUAUGUUUUAGAAAAAUAUUAAGAGAUGGGUUUCACCCAUUUAUUGUGUGAAAACGUAAUUAUCCACGAAAAUUUGAAUAAAUUAUGAGUAAUAUCAAUGUGCAAGUGUGACAGUCCAAAAGAUUAUUCAGCAUAACAUAUUCCCAACGACCAAAUUAGUUUCACGAAGCCUAAGACGGGACCAACCAACUUGAGUCAAUACAUAAAGAAAGUUAAAUAGUUUUAUACAAGCAAUACUAAAUUUAAAGGAGGGGGAAGUUGAACUCGGGACUUUACGUAGAUGAGCGAAUACAUUUAAUCAAGUAAGUUACAACUUACGAGUCCCUUGCAUAUUCCUUAAUUAGUUCUUUAUCCGAUAGAUUCACUUGUAGGAGAUAUUUGUGUAUUUUGUAGAUUAAAAAUAGGAAGGCAUGGAAAUUGCAAAAGAAUCUUCAAGAGGGCAAUCUAAACUGUAUAAACCGGUCUGUACUAUUGAGUUCAAACAAGCAAAAGGUCUCCAGUUUUAAUGGACGAAGGCAAUGUUCAAAUUUUACCUGUUGCUAUUGAAACAAAUUUGGACCUCUUUUUCUUUUAUUUCGAGCCGAAACAAAACAAUGAUAUCCUUUUACGACAUGCGGGAUCGAUGAUGUGGUGACAAGGAAUAAAAUAUCGGUAAUAUCGGAAAUAUCGGUAGUCCGAAAACACGGAAAUAUCGAUGGAAAUAUCGGGAUAAUAUCGAUAUCGAUAAAAAUUACAUGGAAACCACGGAAAUUGUAAGAAAAACUUAGAAAUUUUUAUUGAAACUUUGCAGGAUGUUUAUUUAGUCAAUUAUCUAUUAGUUUAUCACAAAAAAUUGGAAGGAAAUGCAUUGCAUGAUAGAUUUAACAUUAUCAAGUUGAUUAUAUAGCGAGCUGACAAACAUUGUGAAUGUAUAAAAUAUGUAGUAAUUAAUGAAAGAAAUUUAAACACACAAAUUGGGGCUUAUUGCGGCAAGUUUUUUAGAUAUGACCUCGCAUCAAGUCGUCUUUUGUGUUAAUUUGUAAUCUUAACUGGUUUUGUUGUGUUGUGUCAAUUAGUUAAAUUAAGCGGUACAUCCAAUUGGGGCUUAUAAACAUUUUAAUUCUCCUUAAACAUUCUAAACCAAAUCUAACAAGGAUCAAUUACAAUUCUAAUACGAUGUUGUAAUUACUUGGAGUUUUUUAGGGCAAUAUGUAACACCCACCCCCAUUUAUAAAGAUAUAUUUGUGUAAUUAUCCCCUAAACAUUUUAAUAUAUCAAAUUGGUCCUCUUUGACUACCAAUUAGGAUCCAAAACAUUGGAUCCCUUUCUUUCUGAAGUGGCCACGUGACAGCCCCCCUCCACUCUUCUCUUUUCUCUCUCUAUUCUCCCGUGACUCCCUUCUUAUUUUCUUCUUCUUUCUGUUUUCUUUUCUUUUUCUUCUGUCUCCCUCUCGGCUCUCUCUCAUAUCUCCCUCAUCUCUCUUCUCUGCACCGCAGCACGCACGCACCCAUCUCCCUGCGAGGAACAUCACCAUCACCAUCUCGUCCGUCGUCCCCAUCGGCGCUCUCUACUCCCUCUCCCUCUGGCUCUCCAACUUCGCCUACAUCUUCCUCUCCGUCUCCUUCAUCCAGAUGCUCAAGGUCCUCAUGCCCGUCGCCGUCUACUCCAUCGGCGUCGGCGUCGCCUUUCAAGCAAUGUCGCGAUAAUAUCGCUAAUAUCGCGAUAUUAUUGCUAAUAUCGCGAUAUUAUCGAUAUUAUCGAUAUUAUCUCGAUUUUUUUACGAAAACCUAUUGGAUGUGUGGAAAUAUCGGACUCCGAAAAAAACAAUAAUAUUGACGAAAUAUCGUCGCUAUUAUCGAUUUUUUAUACCAUGGGUGACACAACUUAGGAACAUGUUACGCGAUGCUCAAAUCAUGAAAAGUUUGGCUCCAACAAAUAUUUUUGUGAGAAAAUUCUUUCAACAUUUUAUUUAGCAGUAAGUACACAUAACAACUCAAUCUUUAAGGUUGAGUCUGAAUUGAUUCAUGCCUUUAAAAAAAAUUUCAAAUAAAUAUAUAUUGUUUUGAAAAUUGCACAUUUGUUAAAUCACUAGAGUCAAGUGACAUCCUCAGCAAAGUUAAGGCCUGGUUUGGUACUGAGGUGAUUCUGAAAAAAGCUGGUAUAAAAAAAAGCUGGGAGCUUUUUUUGUGUUUGGUAAACAUUCAGCUUCAGUUUUUUUUCACAGUUUUGGGUGAAAAAAAGCCAAAAACAAGAAGUUGCAAAACCCAGCUUUGAAAAACCGGCUUUUUUUUCACAUUUGUUUUACAUAAAAGUUUACCAAACACUAUAAUACUGCUUUUUUUUUUCAAAAGCAUUUUUACAAAAAAAGUUUACCAAACACUCUACAAAUUUAUUUCACAGCCACUUACUCUCACAACAUAGGAGAAUCAGUUUUUUUUCAAAACACAGCAAUACCAAACCAGCCCUAAGUCAUGACGUGGACAAAUAAAUUGAAGGGCAUGGCCCAAAGCUGGCAGUUUUAGCCAAACUAGUAUAGGGUUAAACUUGGCUAAAACGGGUUAAUUUGAGGAUCCAUAACUGACGUGUAUGUGAAAACGCAAACUUGCCCUAUAAGUAUAUUUGUCCCAAGGCAUUAUUUAAAUCUAGUAAAUGUCCAGUUUUACAAAACAUUAAUUAGGUAGGUAUUUGGAAUGCUUAAAAAUUUAGAUGUUUGUGGGUAUUUAACAUUUUACCUGUGUUGGUUUAUUAAUUACUCAAUGAGAAAUGUCAAAAAGACUUUCUCUCAAAAUGUGAGAUUCUUCAUGAAUUCUCCCUCACAAAACAUCAUAUUUUUUAUAUUAAAAUAUAACGUUGGUACGAAAAUUCCAUGAGAUGAUAAAGAAUUCAUAAAGAAUGAAGACUCAUCAUAACAUUUCUCUUGACGACAAGCUUUCAUUGAAAAAAUGAUAAGAAAAAGUUGGCCAAAAGUAGUUUGCUAUGUACACCUGUUCGUGUUUGAUAGGCUAACCCUGUUUUUCUUUACACUAGUACAAAAGCACAGCUUCACUUCACCCCACUCCCCACAAACACCCCCCCAGACACACACUAUUCCCCUGAAAAAAUAUUCCCCCUCUCUCGUCUGCCCUAAAAGAUGAGCUCUUCGGAACCGCCCAAGCCUCCCGCUGAUGGGAAGAAAAGAAAAUCAAUAUUCUCAUCAGCUGAAGGGGAAAGCAAACUUCAAAAACUCUCUUCGGAACCGCCCAAGUCUCCCGCUGAUGGGAUGAAAAGAAAAUCAAAAUUCUCUUCAGCUCAUGGGGAAAGCAAACUUCAAAAACUCUCAAGUAAGUAGUGGAUCCUAUUUCAAAACACUAAAAGUCUCCAUCUUUUCAGCCUUUUGGGAUUUUAAUGCUUGUGUUCUCUUAUUUUUGUUUUUUUUAGUUUCUUCUGGUGAUGGUGGCAGCAGCGUUCAUCAAGCAGCUAAAGCUAAAGGUCAGAUCUUGUUUUCCAUCUUUUGUUUCAAAGUUGUCAUUUUUAAUGCAUGGGGCUUCUGAUUCUAUAUGUUUCAACUUGUUUUUGGAAUAUAGUGUUGUGUGAUCUCCAAAAAAGUUGGCACCUUUUUCAUUUUUUCUUCUUGUUUCCAGUUUCUUGCUUUAUUUUAUUUUAUUUUCCUUAAACCCCUAUAUGAAAUUGAGAGAUUCUUAUCAUAUUUCUUCCAAAGUUGUUAGACAAAAACUAAAACGAAAAUGUUUCAUCUUUCCGGGCGUUUUGGGAUUUUAAAUAUGUUUUUUUUUAAUUUUUUUUAGUAGUUUUUUCCGGUGAUGGCAGCAGGUUAAGUUGUGAAGUUUAUUUCGUUUUCAACCGAUCUGUUACCAAACCUUAUUUGUUGUUAUUAGGGAUCGAGGAGGAGAAGGAGGCUGUUGAUGAAAAAAACAACUGAACAGGCUGAUGAUGAGGAAACAAGAGGAUCGUGCUGAUGAGGAACCAGAGGAGGAUGAGCCAGACGAGGUCCUUGUGCUAAAUGACCCUGAUCGCUGGCCAGAGAGGCGUCCGGUGGCGAGGAGACCAACUGGUUCACCAGAUUCCGACGAGAUGCUGGGCGAUGAUGGAUAUGACGAUUGAGUGAUGAUUUACCCCUUACAAAUUCAUGAUGAAAGUUAAUAUGUUUAAGACUAAAAGUUUAGUUCCGCGUACUUAACAUGCUAGCUACUUAUAUAGUUAAUUAUCCACUCAUAGUUAGGUACUCUUGGCCUCUGGUUGGACCAGAUCAGAGAGGUUUAUGGAGCUUCUUUAUGCUACUGAUGAAAUGAAGACCCAACUUAUAAUUAAUUAAAUUUUCUUCAAGACUUAAUUAUAAUUAUGCUACAUACUUAAUUUUUCACUAAUUAUAAUGAUGAUUGUGUUGGUUGCCAUCUAAUCAAAGACUAAAAAUCUAAUUUUUCACUAACAUUGGUAACAACUAACAUGGUAAGGUAUGCUAUUAUCGUGUCAUUCCAUGCUAAUAAUACAAAAAUAUAUGCAUGACCUUGUAUCAGGGUUGGGGUUGAGAUUUUAGAGGUCUUGUGCAAGACUUAAAUGGGGAUCCUUAUCAGUACCAGCGCUUGACAACUCUACCAAGAAAGCAUUGUGAUACACACACACACACACACACUUAUAUAUAUAAAGGUUUUUAGAAUUUGGGGGCCCCAAAAAACGGGGGACACUAGGUGAUCGCACACUUUGCACGCUUCAAGGUCGGCCCUGCCUUGUAUCAUUGACAUAAAACGUUGGUGUAUUAGUAUAAUGGGACUAAAUAAGUUGUUUUCGUAUCAUAGACGAGCAAAAUUAGGGGUGCACAUUUUAAUGGGUAUAUUGACCAACCGAUAUAAAUUGGGUUGAGUUGGGUUGGGUUGGGUUCUAAACAUUAGAACUUAUUUUCGAGUAAAAACCUAACUCACUAGAAUCACUAUAAUUUUUAAACUUAGUAGUAUAUUGAAUAGAUAUAUUCACAAACUUUAGUAACUUUUAAAUGCACUUGUAUAUUAAUACUUGCUUUGACUAGUGAAAUUUAUUAUUAACAUAUAGUGAUUCUUUAACAUUAAAUUCACAUAAUUUGGGCCUAAUUGAUGUAAUUGUUGAUUAUUUGUCGCUCAAACUCAUAUUAGAGCAUCUCCAAUCAUGCUAAAAGUUACUUUAGAAGUUCCCUAAAAAAUACUCCAAUCAUACUCUCUAGUUUAGGGAAUCAUUUUUUAUUCUUUGAAAUUUAAGAUCUCCUACGAGAAUUCAGAAUUCCUAUCUUUGGUGGUGGAUAGCGAGUGUAACUGAAGAUAAAAAAAAUUCAAAUCCUCUCUGAAAUUUAGCUACAAGCUUAUUUAAGGAGCUCAUUAAAGAUGCACUUAUGCAUAAGAAAGAAACCAAUUAGCCCAACCAGGGAAACACAUCAUACCCAAAACCGCCAAAACAAUGGUUUGCCCAUUUUAAUAGGUAGCAAUGAGCUUGAAGAAUUCCAAUCCGAGCCCAUUGAGUUGGCCUAUGAGUUGAAGUCCAACCCGACCAAUCCAACUCUUAUUCAUCCCUAAGACCAUCUCCAAUGGUGACCUAAAACCUAAAAAUAUUUAGUCCAGAAAAUUUAGGUUUUAGCCCAGAAAUAGUUUUUCUACUCCAACCCUUUUGGCUUAAAAUUUUAGCUCGAGAUUAUCAAAUAAUGAAUUAAGGCUAAUUUUUUUUUUAAAAACAAAUUUAUGUUGACUAUCCUAAAUUAAUUAUAUGAACAUUUUAACCUAAAAAUAUUUAAAUUCAAAUAAAUUUUGAAAAAUCACUAAAUCAAUACAUGAAAAUCAUGAUAAACCAUAUAAACUUAAUACAAAUGACAUUUAAUAAACCAUAUAAACUUAAUACAAAUGACAAUUAAUAAACCACAUAAACUUAAUAUAAUCGAAAACUCAUAAACUUAAUAAUGAUAUCUACCAUCUUGACUUGGUGAUGGACUUGGGUGAUAGUCUUGAGAUGAAUCGUGAUCUUGAAAUAUACUCCUUGUGGCAUUCCUUCGUAAAAUGUCAUUUUGCUUACCACGUAAGUAUUCUUCAUCUCUAGAGUGUUGGUUGCCAUCUAAUCAAAGACUAAAAGUUUAGCUUUCUUGCUACUUAGCACUAAUUAUAAUUAUGUUACAUACUUAAUUAUCAGGCUGCACACACACACACACACACACACACAGAUAUAUGUAUACAGUCUAUCUAUCUGCCUAUGUCCGCAUGAAUUAACCACACAAGAGCUCCUUUGCAGCUUAUUAUUAUUUCUGCUAAAGCAAGAGUACUCUUACUUC